UUGGGGUAAGUGCUUUGUUUUUCCUUCAGUCGGUUGCAGGGUUCUUUAGGCAGGCUGGAGUUUAUAGAUUUCUAUAAUUUUUAAGUGCUUGGAAUUCACUUAAUAGAGGGAUGUUUAAUAGAGGUUUCUGGCUCACUGUUUUUUUGGGAUGGUGGGAUACUCUUCUGUUUUGAGCUGUAUUUUAAUCUCUAGAUGUAUAAACCCACUUGUGUAAUUCUCCAGAGGACUAAAACCAGCUUGAUUGCAUGGUACCUGUGGCUUGGUAGCGUAGAUGCAGCAUUACCAAGAGCCUGAGCAGGGUUGUAUCAGAGUCACCUCUUUCAUCUGCAAAGGGUGCUUUGUGCAGUUGUGGAGAGGGAAGGGAAAUCCUCAUGUCACGAAGCUCUGAGGGAAGGUGAGUGGUGUCAGCCUGGUCAUCGCUUAUCCUAAGCGAAGGGAAGACGCUCAGGUGUUUCUCUGUGAGGGUCCGAGGUGGCGUGGGUGAUGCUGGCCGCUCCUUUCAAGCUUGGACCUAAUUUGCAGGUCC